GUUUCAGCAGCCGCGGUAAUACGUAGGAGGCGAGCGUUGUCCGGAUUUACUGGGCGUAAAGAGCGCGCAGGCGGCACCUCAAGUACUCUCUGAAAUCCACCUGCUCAACGGGUGGGGUGGAGAGUAGACUGAGGAGCUAGAGAGAGGUAGAGGGGGGUAGAAUUGCUGGUGUAGCGGUGAAAUGCGUAGAGAUCAGCAGGAAUACCCGUGGCGAAGGCGGCCCCCUGGGCCUCUUCUGACGCCGAGGCGCGAAGGCUGGGGGAGCGAACGGGAUUAGAAACCCUCGUAGUCC
rnacentral:rRNA from 1 species